rnacentral:lncRNA from 1 species
UGUUGGUUGAGAAAUCAGAGAUGAUUUUCCAUCCCCAUAAUGAGGACAAAGAUGAGUGGUCCUCUCUCCAACAGGAAAAGAAAUCUACUCAUGCCCCCAGAAGGGAGAGGAAAAGGGUGUUGCAAACUCAUUCUUAGUUGAGUAAUUCUUGAGAAUUUAAAGUAUGACUUUUUAAAAGCAUAACAUACGUGUUGGGCCAUUGGUACUAGCCUCGGUUUAAACCAGGUUUCAGUAGUAGACGAUUAUCCCAUUCUGUCCUCCACCCAUCUGGUUGGGGCUGUCCCUUUGCUGAGAGUGAAUUUGUCUAUUUUAGUUUGCCAAAAGACAAAACAGACGAUGAGGGUGGCAGAGCUGGUAGUCCAUGACUCAGAUUCCACUCAGACCUCAUUCCGUAUUUCACUGGGGUAGAAAUCAGACUUUA